rnacentral:rRNA from 1 species
UUCUGGCUCAGGAUAAACGCUGGCGGCGUGCUUAACACAUGCAAGUCGAACGGAGUGGUCUCCCGAGAAUUGAUGGUGCUGCACCUGAUUGACUCAUUGGAUCACUAGUGGCGGACGGGUGAGUAACGCGUGGGAAACCUGCCCUAGUACUGGGGGAUAGCAGUUGGAAACGACUGAUAAUACCGCAUAAGCGCACAGGACCGCAUGGUCUAGUGUGAAAAAACUCCGGUGGUAUAGGAUGGUCCCGCGUCUGAUUAGCUAGUUGGUGAGGUAACGGCCCACCAAGGCGACGAUCAGUAGCCGGCCUGAGAGGGUGUACGGCCACAUUAGGACUGAGACACGGCCCAAACUCCUACGGGAGGCAGCAGUGGGGAAUAUUGGACAAUGGGGGAAACCCUGAUCCAGCGAACCGCCGCGUGAGCGAAGAAGUAUCUCGGUAUGUAAAGCUCUAUCAGCAGGGAAGAUAAUGACGGUACCUGACUAAGAAGCACCGGCUAAAUACGUGCCAGCCGCUGC